rnacentral:rRNA from 1 species
UUUCAUCAUGGCUCAGGAUGAACGCUAGCUACAGGCUUAACACAUGCAAGUCGAGGGGCAGCAUAGCGGAAGCUUGCUUCUGCUGAUGGCGACCGGCGCACGGGUGAGUAACGCGUAUCCAACCUUCCCUACAGUAGGGGAUAGCCCGGCGAAAGUCGGAUUAAUACCCUAUGUUCUUCUUUGAUGACAUCUGACGAGAAGCAAAGGUUUACCGCUAUAGGAUGGGGAUGCGUCUGAUUAGCUUGUUGGCGGGGUAACGGCCCACCAAGGCGACGAUCAGUAGGGGUUCUGAGAGGAAGGUCCCCCACAUUGGUACUGAGCCAGGAUCAAACUC